rnacentral:rRNA from 1 species
AUUGAACGCUGGCGGCAGGCCUAACACAUGCAGGUCGAGCGGAUGAAGGGAGCUUGCUCCUGGAUUCAGCGGCGGACGGGUGAGUAAUGCCUAGGAAUCUGCCUGGUAGUGGGGGAUAACGUCCGGAAACGGGCGCUAAUACCGCAUACGUCCCGAGGGAGAAAGUGGGGGAUCUUCGGACCUCACGCUAUCAGAUGAGCCUAGGUCGGAUUAGCUAGUUGGUGGGGUAAAGGCCUACCAAGGCGACGAUCCGUAACUGGUCUGAGAGGAUGAUCAGUCACACUGGAACUGAGACACGGUCCAGACUCCUACGGGAGGCAGCAGUGGGGAAUAUUGGACAAUGGGCGAAAGCCUGAUCCAGCCAUGCCGCGUGUGUGAAGAAGGUCUUCGGAUUGUAAAGCACUUUAAGUUGGGAGGAAGGGCAGUAAGUUAAUACCUUGCUGUUUUGACGUUACCAACAGAAUAAGCACCGGCUAACUUCGUG